AACAUUUCAGAGAUACAAAAUGAGGAGGAGAAGCUGCUUCCAGAAGCUAGAUAUUUGUCCCUUUGGUAACCUGAAUGCCACAUGAAAGCAGUCCUCCAGGUCUCCCCUGGCUGUUCCUGUCACCAUGCCUUUCCUCUCAGUGUUCUUCCUCUGGUUUCUCCACGUGAAUCUUACCAGCCUGACCAUGCAUGACUUUGGUGGAUGCGUCAACAGAUCUAUUGACCACUGGUGUCUUUGGAGGCAAGAGAAAGACAAGUCACCACAAGUUAAGAACACGCACACAUAAGAGUGGAGGGUGACCAGGAUAUGAUCUACUGUAGCGGAAACAUUUCCUAUCAUCAUCGUCCAACAGAGUGAGUGGAUUACAAUAGAAAUUCAACAAAUAUUUGGGAAGAGAGAAAAGCUGCAGUGAGUGGAGAGGAAAUGACUAAUUAGUGCAUAUCUAAUAAAUGUCGGGUACAUAGCAAUGCUUUCUCGUGUAUUAUCUCAUUUAUUACUCACAUCCUUUCACGUGUUCAUUCUUUUAACAAAUAUUUAUUGAGUCCUAGUAUGUGCCAGAUACUGCUCUAAAUGUUAAGGAUACAGUUAAUACUAAAUGAAAGGAGACAGACAACAAACCGAAACAUCAGCAAAUAAGAUUGUCAAAUAAAU
rnacentral:lncRNA from 1 species